AUUGAACGCUGGCGGCAUGCCUUACACAUGCAAGUCGAACGGUAACAGGUCUUCGGAUGCUGACGAGUGGCGAACGGGUGAGUAAUGCAUCGGAACGUGCCUAGUAGUGGGGGAUAGCCCGGCGAAAGCCGGAUUAAUACCGCAUACGACCUGAGGGUGAAAGGGGGGGAUCGCAAGACCUCUCGCUAUUGGAGCGGCCGAUGUCAGAUUAGCUAGUUGGUGGGGUAAAGGCCUACCAAGGCAACGAUCUGUAGUUGGUCUGAGAGGACGACCAGCCACACUGGGACUGAGACACGGCCCAGACUCCUACGGGAGGCAGCAGUGGGGAAUUUUGGACAAUGGGCGCAAGCCUGAUCCAGCAAUGCCGCGUGCAGGAAGAAGGCCUUCGGGUUGUAAACUGCUUUUGUCAGGGAAGAAAUCUUCUGGGUUAAUACCUCGGGAGGAUGACGGUACCUGAAGAAUAAGCACCGGCUAACUACGUGCCAGCCGCCGCGGUAAUAC
rnacentral:rRNA from 1 species